GUCAGAUUUGUCUCCUGAGGAGGAUGAGUCCUUGCCAGACAAGAAAAGGGAGGAUACAGUGUUGCUUCCGGUUCCUCCACCAAAGAUUAAGCUCUCAAAUAGGGGUGAGUAAAAUAGCUGGGCUGGUCCAGUGGUAUAAUUCAGUUAUCAAACUUCAGGGAAUGGUUGGCAAUAUGAGCAAUAUGUUGCUGUACUGCUUCUGGUUUUGGAAUUUCUUUUAGCAACCACAGGACAAAAUGCAAUGCUGCUCGAGUUACCUGCACCCCUAGAACUGGCUAACACCAUCAAUAGACGACCAGAGAGUCCUGCAUCUUCAGACAUUUCUGGAUGUUCUUGUCCAACGCCUCAUUGUUCACCCACAAGGUCUGAAUCAGCAGAAGCAUUUAGUCCAGGGUCAGCCAGAUCUAACCGUUCUCACACACCUCAGCGUGGAGUUUGUAAUCCAUCACAUUUUGGGAGCAGAAAAGGUUGGGCAUCCUCAUCCAGAUCUAAGCGUUCUCGCACACCUCAGCGUGGAGUUCCAAAUCCAGCACAGUCCGGGAGCAGAAAAGGUCAGGCAUCCUCAUCCAGUGAG